rnacentral:rRNA from 1 species
UACGUAGGGUGCAAGCGUUAAUCGGAAUUACUGGGCGUAAAGCGUGCGCAGGCGGUUCUAUAAGUCAGAUGUGAAAUCCCCGGGCUCAACCUGGGAACUGCAUUUGUGACUGUAGAGCUGGAGUGCGGCAGAGGGGGAUGGAAUUCCGCGUGUAGCAGUGAAAUGCGUAGAUAUCUGGAGGAACACCGGUGGCGAAGGCGGCAUCCUGGACCAAUUCUGACGCUGAGGAGCGAAAGCCAGGGGAGCAAACGGG